AUUUAUAUAGUAUAAAAAUUACAUUUAACUUCCAAUUAAAAAAUUUCGAAAAGAAUAUAAAUA
rnacentral:tRNA from 1 species